CCCCCUUCCCAGGCCCGCAGCCCGCCCCCCUGAGGAUAUGAUUUUCCGUUUUCAAUAAGCUGCAAACGACACCACUGGGCACCCCAACAAGAGCUGGGUGAGCACGGAGGAAAAGCUCAUUUACACAGUGAGGAAGUUGAUAAAGCUGCACAGAAACAAGAAAGAACAUUGCACCGAAGGAAAAGAUGUAUCAACAAGUUCUUCCUGAAUGUGAGGAUUGAAAGAUUAGACUCUGUUCAGAAGGGCGACUUUAGCAGCCGACAAGCUAUGGUCUCAUUCAGAGGUCACCAUCAUAAAUGCGCGGCAAUCUGAGGCUUCUUCCAUGGCACACUGAUCGAGGAGACAUUGAUUAGACAUUAAUACUGAGUGUUUAAUAUUAUUUUAUACUGCUAAGGAAUGCAACAAUACAGCGAUUCGUACAUAGGGAGGCAUGAGUCACACUAUGUAUGAAUAUACACAUGCAUAUAGAGUGUAGAUGUGAAGGUGCCUGUGUGUGGUUGCACACAUGUGGGCACAUGCACAUACAUGUUUGCAUGCAUGUUCAGCUCAGAGGAUAGUCUUGGGUGUCAUUUACAAGCACCCCCCAUGCUGCUUUUUGAGACAGGGUCUCUCAUUGGCAUGAGAGUGGGUUGGCUGCCUGACCAACAAGCCUCAGGGAUCUGCCUGGUCUUUACCUCCCCAGUGCAGGGAUUACAAGUACCUGCCAUCAAUCUGGAUUCUAUUUUAAAUAUGGUUCUGAGGAUUGAACUCAGGUCCUUGUGCUUGUAAGGCAAGUACUAUACUGACUGAACCAUCUGCAGGUUAGUCCAGAUUUAUUUUUAAUACAGCCUAUUUCUACUAAACCGACAGGAGGAUAUGACAGAACGUUCUGUUGCAGGUCAUUUAUGACUAAAAUACAUUGAUGGAGUUUUCAAUCACAAAUCUGAUGUUCUCCAUGUACAUCUAUGCAGGCUUUAUUACACUUCACUGUGGCAUUUCAUGAACAUCUGAUGAGCAUAUAAGCAAGAUAUUUUGCAAUAAAGAUGCACACAGAAUAUACAACAAAUGUUACAUGAUACAGAGAAACAAAGCUCAUGAUCUUCACAUUUACAGAAACUUAUACAAUCUUCUCUGAAGGAAACGUGCUAUAAUUCAAACUUCUCAUCUUGAAAAUAAUCUGCAGAAUUGAGAUAGUCUUGCAGCUGAUCAUAUUUCUGCAUAUACAACAGAAAAUCAGUCAUUUUACUCACAACAACAUUAAGACAGACCUUUCUAACUACUUAAACACAUGUCUAAUGGAAAAGUAGGAACAAAAAUCACUUAAUUAUAAAUAGAAGCUCUAUUUCAAAUAAGCAUUUCUAACUCAGAACGUAUUGGAAAGGAAUCCAAUAAUAGUGUUAUUAAUUCAUAUCUCUUACAAGUUAUAAUUGUAAAGCAUAGCAUAAAUAUAAUAAUUCAAUAGCUAAUCCAACAUAUACUUGUGGAACAGAUGUGUGUGUAUGCAAACAGUUUCCUACUAAUGACUGCAGGGCUUUAAAAGACAUUUUCCUCAUUCCUAAGACAAGACAUCAUGGCAAACAGCACAACUGCAAAGAGGGCUCAGAAGAGAAGUCAUGGGUAGUUUAGAUGACCAGGAAAGUCUGACAUUUAAGUUGUUCUAAACAAAAAUAUUUGAUAGGCAAAAAUUUAAUGGCAAAAGUAUCCCUCCCCCGGCAUAAGAGAUUAACAGUUUAUCCAGCAGUACCAUGACAAGGGAGUAUAGGAAUCGGAUGCCACCUAAGAGAAAGAGGUAGGAUUUAACCAAAGAGAUUGAGAAUAAAAACUAUGAAAUACUAGGUUUUGGACUAAGCAAAGAUUUGAAAUGCAGUGUGAUACUGCCAUCAUUUGAAGUACAUGUUCAGAAAGCUGUUUAGCUAUUCUAUAACUGUGUGGCAAUGAGUUAUGGAUCUGUGAUGGCAAAUUAGGCAAUGAGGACUCAAACCUGUGGGGCAGCAACAGAAAUUAUGAGUAAAGAACAGGAGGGAACGUGUUAAGAGAUGGGGUAAGGGUGCCCUGGAAAUUCCAAGGUGACCGAGUAUAAGAAUGAUGGCAGGCAGGGCUAUCUCAGGCAGAAAGGGAACAGGGAAGAUACAUGAGUUCACAUUUAGACAGAGUCCAAGUAUUGAUAUCAGUUGAGGACACUGAAUUAUUUAAUGGUUUUUCUAACUUGGUUUAUGAACUCUGAGAGAAGACCUCAAUGGCCUGAAUUCUAUGAUGAUGACAAGGAUUCAUGGGAAGCAACGUGAAUAUUGCAUUUUCAUGCGAGGCCCUGAAGCCCAUUUUCAUAACCUCAACAUUCUCGGGGAAGAAGGAAGAAAAGAAAGAGACAGACAAUGAUCUGUUAGCAUAGGCCACUUAACAGCUCUCUUGGUUUUAGUACACGGAAGUAAGAUUCUUUAUGAUCUAAAACCUGCACCUUAAAAGACUGGCUGUUUUAGGCUUAUUAUUUUAUUUCUAUAUUUAUAAAACUUGUUUUUGAAAAUUAAAAUGUAUCUUAGCAUACUAAGAGAAACAAAUAACAAUCUUUGCUUGCUUAUAUUACAAAUAACAGCUAAUGGCAGUUGACCACUUUCUGAUUCCAGGCCUUAAAUCUGCCAUCCAUCAUUUGCAUGAUACAAAUCCUAAUUAUUGCUUAAUUCCUAUUUUAUAGAGGCAGAACAGGCUUGGAGAGAUCAAGUAACUUGCUUUCACAAUCUACUGCUAGCCAGUGGCAGGGCAAAUAUUUAAAUGCAUGCUUUUAACCUUUAUGGGAUGCUGUUUUUGAGUUUUAAAUGGCAGGGGUGGGGCAACAGCUAUUCUGAGAAAAAAAAAAAAAAGAAAACCACAAAAGGGAAAGGGAAAGAGAGGGAAGGUCAUUAGGACCACUCUGCCAUCUUCCCUGCCUGAAGAUGCAUCUCCUGUAGCUCAUCACAGAGCCUUUGGGGAGUCCGGGUCUUACUUUAGAAAGGACGAACACUCUCAUAUGGUAAUAGACAGACAUUCUGACGAAAGUAUUCCAGACUGUGGAAAUGGGGUAGGGAAAGCAAUCAGACUGUAAGCAAAGCCUGGCAUCCCCUACCCAGAAGGAGCAAAUGAGACCAACAGAAAGGAAAUGAUGUGCAGGUAGAGAACUCAACAGGAAAUUUUAAGCUGCAAGCUUCCGCCAUCCAUCUUUAAUUUACUGAAGAAUCAGCCAAUUUUUAAAAUGUUAGAUGUUUAAUGCCCUUAAGAAGUUUCAUUCAAUUGGACUGGGUAAGGUCAGGAAUUAUGUAUUUUUCCACAAAUUUCUAGGUGACUUUGACAUAUGUAGUUAAGAGUACUAUUUUGAGAAAUACCAACUUAAGGUAUAGAAGAAAAAGAAAAGAAUAAAUGUUAAAAGGAGAGUGUGAAAGAGAAGACUUAAGGGAAAUCUCAUUAUAAUUUGAAGUUAUUAUUUCUGUAAUACAUUGUAAAGUUAUUUUAAAUAUGGCUCUAAAACAGAUUUGAUUCUUUUA